ACCUGGAGGACUCAGCCUAGCACCCCACUACCCCACCUGGAGGACUCAACCUAGCACCCCACCACCCCACCUGGAGGACUCAGCCUAGCACCCCAUUACCCACCUGGAGGACUCAGCCUAGCACCCCACCACCCCUCCUGGAGGACCCAGCCUAGCACCCCAUUACACCACCUGGAGGACUCAGCCUAGCACCUUAUCACCCCACCUGGAGAACUUAACCUAGCACUCUGUUCGCCCACCUGGAGGACUCAGCCUAGCACCCUGUCAUUUACCACAGUAUGCCUCCGCCUUGUGCUCUGCCUUCCAGCCCAGUAGAGUUAGAGGCAGAAAAGGAGUGAGCAAAGAAGAGAUCCCACAGCACCGCCUACUGUCCAUGAAGCCUCCCUUUUGCAUGGUGCUCUCCUGUGGCAGCCGGGGGCUCGAACCCCAGUCCCGACACUGGCAAAGUGUGUGCUCUACCAGGUAGAGGGGGAGAGAGGAGAGCUACUACAGCGCCACUCCAGGGCUGUGACACUUCCGCUUGUGCGGUGCCCCCACGUGGUGGCCAGAGGACUCAAGCCUGGGUCAUCUCUGAGUCUUCACGCACCUGCACAAUUCCUCCUAUCCUGGUGGGCUUUACUGUUCUUGAGAGAGAGGAUGAGAGACAGAGACACUGCAGGACUGCUCCCCUGCUCAUGAAGCUUCCCCUGUGCAGAUGUCUGCUAGUCUGGGGCUCAAACCCAGAUUGUCACACACGGUGUAAACCACAGCAAACGUUGCAGCCCCCCCUUCCUGGAGCUCC